UAACCUGAGCUACGUUGGUCAUAACUGAGC
rnacentral:piRNA from 1 species